rnacentral:tRNA from 1 species
GACCGCGUGGCAGAGUGGUUAUGCAACGGACUGCAAUUCCGUAAACACCGGUUGGAUUCCGACCGCAGCCCCA